rnacentral:misc_RNA from 1 species
GAUGAAGAACGCAGCGAAAUGCGAUAAGUAAUGUGAAUUGCAGAAUUCAGUGAAUCAUCGAAUCUUUGAACGCACCUUGCGCUCCUUGGUAUUCCGAGGAGCAUGCCUGUUUGAGUGUCAUGAAAUUCUCAACCUUUUCAGCUUUCUUUGUUGAUCAGGCUUGGAUGUGGGAGUAUGCGGGCUUCUCAGAAGUCGGCUCUCCUGAAAUGCAUUAGCGGGACCUUUGUUGCCUGGCUUUGGUGUGAUAAUUAUCUACGCCAUUGUAGUCAAACAGCUUAAAAUGAGGUUUCAGCUUCUAACCGUCUCCCCUGAGACAACUUUUUGACAAUUUGACCUCAAAUCAGGUAGGACUACCCGCUGAACUUAAGCAUAUCAAUAAGCGGAGGA